GUCCUAGCCGUAAACGAUGGAUACUAGGUGUAGGGGAUAAUAUCCUCUGUGCCGAAGCAAACGCGUUAAGUAUCCCGCCUGGGGAGUACGAUCGCAAGGUUGAAACUCAAAGGAAUUGACGGGGACCCGCACAAGCGGUGGAGCAUGUGGUUUAAUUCGAUAAUACGCGAGGAACCUUACCAGAUCUUGACAUAUACGGGGAUAAUGUCGAAAGGCAUUAGCUCAUAGCAAUAUGAGCUCGUAAACAGGUGGUGCAUGGCUGUCGU
rnacentral:rRNA from 1 species